CACGCAGCUGCAGCACAGCCUCAUUAUACGUAUGUGGAGGCUGGGCUGACUGAACUGUAGGGGGAGCUGCAGAGUCACUUCACCCGGCCAGCUCCUCUCAGGCAGUUCCCAUGGGCCUUUGAGAGUUCAGAGGUCGGGUGAGGAAGUGUUUCUGCAGCAGGUCCGUGUCUGGCAUGCUGGAGGGGGGAUGGCUGAUCGGAGAACUCGGACAGACAGCUCCAGUGAUGAGGAGGGCACAGCUGCGGGCAGCCAGAAAACAAAGAGCCUUAUGUACACCUGGUGCGGAGGUGCAGCCCUGCCCCACCCCCAACCCGAUCGCAGGCCACGCCCAUGUUCCCCUGGACUACGCGGAGAACACCAGAGGAGCGGAACCCAUAACUUCUACUGAGGCCGUCCUGUGUGAGCUUGCAUGGAAGGAGCAACGGUGGCUGGGACCCGGGAGCUGCAUUAGAGGAGAGCCCCUGGACAGACACAGACAGCAGCCCCUGUACGGACACAGCCAGUAGCCCCUGGUUGGAAACAGCAGACCCUGGAGAACACUGAACCUAUGGACGGACAAUGCAUACUGCAACUAUCCGCAUUUAAGUCUUGUGUGUUACUCUGCAUCAGCCACUCUGUGUGCAAGCUACAAAAUAAUUGGACUGAUCUAUGGGAAUUAUUGAGGCAGUGAAGAGAUCGCAUCUGUCUGUGUUGUGGAGUAGGUGAAAAAGAGUUCAGCCCGCUGUUGACUCCUGCAGUGAAGUCAUUGGUCUUUCCUGACUUUACCUGAUUCUCCACAAAAAUCCCAAGUUCCACUGAGGGCUUGGCUUUGUUCAGGCAAGGUCAGGCUGCCUUUACUGUGUGAUCUUUCCCAACCUCCUCCACUACCUGUCGCCUCGCUAAACUGUGUGGAGAAACUUUGCAUCUGCAGAUACACAAAUUUGGUUUUAACAUCCUCGUUUUUAAUUUCUUUCAUGUCAUGCAAUGUGUGGCUAUAUUUACAAUCUUGUGAACACACUUCUGUCAACCCACAGGGAUAGUUUUAAAUUGGAUCUGUACAGAUGGUAAAAUACCGUUCACAAAAGUCACAACUGGAGUCUGAUAAAUCAGGUCUUCGCUUCCUGAAUGACUAAUCAGUGUUUCUGUUAAUCUCUCAAAAUAAGCUGCUAAUGACGCUUCUUUUACAUGUCUACAAGAACUUAUCCAAAACACAAUGUAUACUGAAUUUGAUAACGGAACGUACUAAGGGGCCCAUUUGCAAUGCGAUCUGGGCAUGAUAUUAGCGCCCACCAUAGCAUUGCAGAAUGAAGUCACGUCGGGUGAAAAUAUAACCUGGCACAGUCAGAGACAGGGUUCCAAAAGGAGCCCGUCCCUGUGAUGUGCGUAGUGCGAUGCAGGGGCUGCUGCGCAUGCACGGUCACGCUGACCGCCAUGCACAGUGGUCAUUUCCAAUGGAGGGUCCUGAGGAACCCUGCCGGAUCUACAGCCCCAAUCUUUAGCUCAUAGGCUACAACGCGCUACCGCAAUCUGAAGAUGGCAGUAACUGCGGGGACUAUAUAUUUGUGAAUCUGGCAGCAUCGCAUCCCCCAUGGAAACCUAUGAGGGAUGCAGCUGCUAGCGGGAAUGGAGGGAUCAUACAUUCAGGGGAUACUUACAGUCAGGGGCGUCUUAAGAGAGGAGGAGGCCCGUGUGCACACUCCGGGUGGGCCCCCUCCUCUCCACGGCGCUGCACGCUCCGGCAAUAUGCCGAAGUCUAUUGCGCAUGCGCAGAUCUCCCGAAACAUGGCGCAGUGGCCAUUUUUGAUGGUUUUUUUGGCCGCGACGGCUGCCGCUGCAACACCUGGCAGUGGACUUCGGACAGGUGAGUAUGAAAAUAUGGGUGCAAUGUGUGCUGUGUGGGCCCCCCCUGGACCCAGGCGCCCGUGUGCACCGCACACAUUGCACCAUGAUAGAAACGCCAGUGCUUACAGUAGUAUAUGCGGCUAACCCCUGAAAACUGUUGUAUGCGGGGGAAAUAGCCACAAAUAUUGGUUGCUAAAUGGGCCCCUGAUUCUCAUCUACUCCACUGACAUAUGCACAAUGUUGUUGUUUUUCUGUACAUACUGUACAUAAAGUCAAUCUCUGAAAUCUAUGUAUUCUUAUUCUGAGAAACGUGUUUUUUUGUUGGGCAUACUAUAACAUGACCAUUGCAGACAGUUUCUGUAGAUGUUAAUUGCUGUCUGAGAAUUUUCCUGGGGCACAAGACAAGUGGUGGAAAUGAAGCACAUUUUGAGAGCUACAAAUGACUGCAUGAAGGGCCUGAUUCAGGUUUGUAAGCA